GACGAACGCUGACGGUGUGCUUUAGACAUGCAAGUCGAACGAGAAAGCCCUUCGGGUUAGUAAAGUGGCGAACGGGUGAGUAACACGUGGGCGAAUCUGCCCUCGCAGGGGGACAACCGGAGGAAACUCCGGCUAAUACCCGUAAGUUCAAAGGGAGGCAUCUCUCUUCGAAGAAAGGUAGCUUCGGCCAUCCGGCGAGGGAUGAGCCCGCGGUGCAUUAGCUAGUUGGUGGGGUAACGGCCUACCAAGGCGACGAUGCAUAGCUGGUCUGAGAGGAUGAUCAGCCACACUGGGACUGAGACACGGCCCAGACUCCUACGGGAGGCAGCAGUCGGGAAUCUUGCGCAAUGGGCGAAAGCCUGACGCAGCAACACCGUGUGU
rnacentral:rRNA from 1 species